UACGUAGGGGGCAAGCGUUGUCCGGAUUUAUUGGGCGUAAAGAGCGUGUAGGCGGCCUGACAGGUCUGCUGUGAAAACUCGAGGCUCAACCUCGAGAUGUCGGCGGAAACCGUCUGGCUAGAGUCCGGAAGAGGAGAAUGGAAUUCCUGGUGUAGCGGUGAAAUGCGCAGAUAUCAGGAAGAACACCCGUGGCGAAGGCGGUUCUCUGGGACGGUACUGACGCUGAGACGCGAAAGCGUGGGGAGCGAACAGG
rnacentral:rRNA from 1 species